rnacentral:rRNA from 1 species
CGAAUGAACGCGUGGCGGCAUGGAUUAGGCAUGCAAGUCGAACGGGGCGCCCUCGGGCGCCCAGUGGCGAAAGGGUGAGUAACACGUGAGCAACCUGCCCCCGAGUCCGGAAUAAGCGGUGGAAACGCCGUCUAAUGCCGGAUGCGGACCGCGGCCUCCUGGCCGCGGCUCCAAAGAUUUAUCGCUCGGGGAUGGGCUCGCGCCCCAUUAGCUGGUUGGCGGGGUAACGGCCCACCAAGGCUGCGACGGGUAGGUGGACUGAGAGGUUGGUCACCCACACUGGGACUGAGACACUGCCCAGACUCCUACGGGAGGCAGCAGUGAGGAAUAUUGCGCAAUGGGGGCAACCCUGACGCAGCAACGCCGCGUGAGUGAGGAAGGUUUUCGGACUGUAAAGCUCUGUCGAGCGGGAAGAAGUGUACCAUGGCUAAUAUCCAUGAUAUUUGACGGUACCGCUAGAGGAAGCACCGGCUAACUCCGUG